GUUUACUCAGUGAAGAAUCUUUUUUGGGGAAAAGACAAUUCUAUAGGUUGUAUAUAGUCUCUUACACUGAAACAAGAAAAAACAGUUCAAGUCAUCCAGUUAUUGGUAACACUAAUUUGGUUGUUUGGUCACAGUUGCAUUGGCCACUCUCUAUUAUAAAAGCACUGUGAUUGAUAAACUAGUCUGAGAUUUUAAUUUGUGAUUUUUCUAUGUAAAUAUCCAUUUUAGUAUCUAUUGAUGAACUUUCUCAUUAUUUUUAAUUUCUUUUAUGCCACUUUAUUUUUUGUAUCAACAAAACAGGUACAUGUAUUUUCUGGAUUAUUGACAGAUUUUGUUUCAUGUUCUUUGCCCAAGUUUCAUUAUAUUGCAUGCAAUAUACAUUAUUAAAUUGGCCAUUUCUAAUGAUUUCACAAUUUUGCUAUUCUAUAUUAGCUAGCUAAUAAUCUUCUACAAGGAAGAUUAUUCUCUUUGUGCUUUCUUUUUUCUCUUAAUCUUUACCAUGAACUCAUACAAUCUUUGUUCUCUCAGUUUGUAAUCUUUUCUUUAUAAUCUAUUAGUUAUUCUUCUUUUCAAAGCUCAAGUUGUCCCAAAUUUGGAUUUUCCUUCAAGAUAGCUCCUGUGUUCUUGACAUGACUCUAUUAUUCUGUAGGCACCUCCUUGAUUUCUCUGUAUUGUUUCAGUCUUACCUUGCAUGGUUAUAAUUUUUAAUAGUGAAAUAAUACUCUAAUUCGUGCACUCAAAGUUAUAUAAUCAUAUCAACUGGUGCCACGUUCUAUAUAAUUUUCUGUGUCUUCUCUGUUCAUGACCUGUUUACUCUGAAUGGUGCUUCUCUGUGUUUCGUUUUUUAGCAGAAUAUUCAGAUAAACUUUAAAACAGUGGUUCUUAGUAGUUUAUAUCCAGAGCUUUCAAAACCCUGGUCUCAUCCUGGAGCUUCUCAUU
rnacentral:lncRNA from 1 species